ACAUAGGUGAUGUAACUUUCUUGCCUUCUCUCUGGCUGCAGGUGGUAUUGCUCCAUAUGCCUGAGACCCUAACAAAAGCCUAAUUACAACUCAUAUGCCUGGAGCCAGGACAUGUGCAGGAUGACUCUGCCAAGAGAGGGGAUUAUUACAUAUUGCAGAGCCCAGCACCUAGGUGGAGUGACUCUCAUCUUUUUCUUCUACCCCGUAUAUAGCCAGCUUGGUGACCUACUAUUUGAGUCUAUACCCAGGCCCAGACCACAGAUGAAAUUGUGCAAUAUGUGGAACAAACACCUAAACAAUAUAUAACACCUUCCUUGGCUCUGUCUACAAAGGGCACUUUUAUAUAUCACUGGGACCAUCAACCAGGUGAUGUUAAUUAUCUUCCUGAAACCUGUCUACAAAGAGAGUUGUGUCGUAUACCUAGGCCCGUCAUGUGAUGUUGUGCCAUAUAACUGAGACCGUAUCAAAAGCCUAAUAACAAGACGUAUGUCUGGAGCCCCGAUAUGCACAGGAUGGUGAUAUAACCCUCUUCUCUGGAAUGGGCCCCACACAAAGGAAGGAUAGUGACAUAUUGCAAGCCCAGGCACACAGGCCCAGAGCACAGUUGAAAUUGUGACAUAUGUACACCAAGCAACCAAGCAAUGUAUAACACCUCAUUUGGCAAUGGAAUCGAGGGCACUUUUACAUAUCACUGAGACCAGCGCCCAGCUGAUGUGAAAUAUUGGCCUGAACCCUGCCUACAAAAGCAUUGUGGCUUUUAUCUAGCUCCAUUACAUAAGUGAUGUGACUUCCUUCUACUGCCUUGGCCCUGCACUUAUGGUGAAUCGUGACACAAAAUUGGGUAGAGCAACCAGCCUGGGCCCUGACCAGCACAGAGAUUGAGGCAUAUUGCUGAACCCAGGACCAAGAUGAAGUCACUCUCCUGCCUUGAUCCUGCACACAGGGACCCUUGUGACAUAUAUACAGGCCAAUUGCCUAGGUGAUGUUGUGCAAUAUACCUGAGACCAGAUCAAUGGCCUAAUAAUGACUCUUUUACCUAGAGCCAGGACAUGUGCAGGAUGGUAACUCUCAUCCCUGAACCUUUCCACAGGUGUUAUUGUCACAUAUACCUUUUCCAGCUCCAAAGUGAUUUAAUAAUCCAGCCUAGUUAUAGCCCACAGAUAAUAUUUGGACAUAUACCUGAGUCAAGAACCUUGGUGAUUUGACUCUCAUGUCUUAACAGUGUCCUCAGAAGGGAUCAUAACAUAUCUCUGGACCCAUCAUCUAGGUUAUGUGACUCUCUUCUCCUGCCUGAACCCUGCUUCCAGUGAAGAGUGUUGCAUUUCUAAGCACUGCAUCCAAAUGACAUGAGUUUCUUGCCUGGGCCGUUUCAACAGAAGGCAUUGUGACAUAUCUCUAGGUCUAUCAUUUAGGUGAUAUGACUCUCCUCUCCUGCCUGGACACUCUCCACAAGGGGCAUUAUGCCAUAGAGCUAGAGCUAGCAACCAAGUUUUGUGAAUUUUCUGUUAGGGCCUUGCCUACAAAGAGAAUUUUGGAAUAUUUCUGGCUUAGAAUUUAAGUAAUGUGGUUGUUCUGCCUGUUCAGUAACCACAGAGGAGAAGGUGAAAUAUAUCUAGGCACCGCAAACAGGCAUGAUAAUGAGUCUUGUAUGUGGACCCAGCAAAUAGGAGAAAUUUUGACUCUUAUAACUAGGUUUAGGAACAUGAGUGAUGUCCAGGAUCUCCUUCUGGUAAGAAGGUCACAGAAGAUUGCAACACUCACAAUUAUUUUGUAACACCUUUGGGUUGUAUAGGGAGUGUCGUAACAGGGCCAAACACACAGAGGAAAUUGUGACAGUCAUAUGCACACCUACCUGACAGUAAAGACUUUCACAAUCACAAAUGGAUGAAGGCAACUGUCCUACAUGAAAACAGGACAUGUGUGGUAUUGUACAUCUAAAACCUAGAAUUUUAUUCCAUUGUGACUGUGAUAUAAAUCAAUGCCAAGCACCUGCGU
ensembl:lncRNA LINC00293 long intergenic non-protein coding RNA 293